rnacentral:lncRNA from 1 species
CCUUCGGGACAAUCUUGCUUACUCUUAAUAAAUGUAUAUUUUUCUCUGCAAGGUUGGACUUACAAAACAUAAGGAUGUGUUUGGUUAUACUUUUUGAUUUUUAAAAAUAUUUUUUAUUUUUUUAUUUUGCUAUUGAGUAAAAGCAAAAAAGUAAAAAGUAUGUUUGGUAACUAUAUUACUAUAAAGCAAAAGGCAACAUUUGGGGAUGGC